rnacentral:rRNA from 1 species
UACAGAGGGUGCAAGCGUUACUCGGAAUUACUGGGCGUAAAGGGUGCGUAGGUGGUUAGAUAAGUUAGGUGUGAAAGCCCUGGGCUUAACCUGGGAAUUGCGCCUAAUACUGUUUAGCUAGAGUACUGUAGAGGAAGGUGGAAUUUCCGGUGUAGCGGUGAAAUGCGUAGAUAUCGGAAGGAACAUCAGUGGCGAAGGCGACUUUCUGGACAGAUACUGACACUGAGGCACGAAAGCAUGGGGAGCAAACAGG